CACAUUUUUUCUAAUCAAGACACGUCGUGUUUACAAAAAUUAUUUUUAAAUGUUAUAAAUUAAUUUUAUAACAUAUAUUUGAAAAUAUACGUAGAUAUUGCUGCUUAGAAUGGGUUCAAAAGUUACUUUCAAAAUUAUUUUAACGUCGGACCCUAAAUUACCAUUUAAAGUAUAACUAGCAUUGGCCCAGAGAAUUUACCAACAUGGACCUUCAGCAAACAUGAACGAAAAUGCUUCUUCUAAUAUCACACAAAUACUAACAUCUUUCGAGACAUUUUUACAUACAUAUAAUGAUCCUUUGUGGGUGAAGAACACUACUACAGAGAAUAUUAAGUCCAUUUUUAAGUUAGGAUGUUUUAUAGAGAAAUGCAUUGAAAAGUUUCAAAACAAAAACUAUAUAUCCGAGUUUAUGAAAGUGUUAGAAAAAUGGUGUCAAGAAAAGAGUAUCAAGUGUUAUGAUGUAGCCUUUUUUGCUGUUGCAAACGAUCAAAUCUUGGAAAAAGUAUUCAAGUAUGACAAUGUAAAGGAGACUAGUCUAGAUAUUAGUAUUAGAGUUUAUUGCUCUAUAUACCCAAAGGAGAGAUUCAAAGUUUUUCUGGAACGACUUAUUACAAAAUGUUCUUCUGUUUCUGCUAUUAUUGAAUUUGUAAAUUUCAGUUUAGAAGAUAGUAGUAACCUUAAAAAUACAAUUAUUUUAAACAAAUGGAACGAGUUUGUUAUAGAUGGCCAAGAAGAUGUCUUAAAAUCAGAAUUAGAUAGUUAUGUUUCAUUGUAUAAAGUUGCUGAUAUGUUACCGAAGCUUUUUAGUAUGUUAUGUGUAUCUGAUUCUUCUAAUACAUUGAAUCCAGUAAAAACAAUUAUUUUAAAUUCAAUUCUGAAUAAAAUGUGUGAUAGAAGUCUAUUGACAAAAAACUUCUGGUUAACGUUAUUUAAGGUAGUCGAUAGAGAAGAAAUAGGAAAAGUGUCAUGUAAUUAUAAACUUUUUUUAGAAUCUAUUAUGAAUUUUAUUGAAUAUGUUGGCUCAAUGUUUCAGAAGGAUGUUAUAAAUGUUUGUGAAUGGAAAAGUGAUCCUGUUUUAUCUUUAUAUCCAGAAAUAAAUUAUUUUGAUCUACUCUCAAUUUUAAAAAUUAUAAUUAACAUUGGAAGUGAUAAUGGACACUAUGUUUCUGAUAGAUUAGAACAAGCUAAAGAAUAUUCAAACACAGAUUUGUGGUCUCAGUUGAAAGAAGAUCUUUUUCAAGUUGAUUGAUUUAUAGUAUUUUUGUAUUAUUAACAGUGAUAUUGUUGCUUAGUGUUCCUGAACAGACUCCUUUUACAGCUGUGUUGAAAUUUGCAGCGGAGGAAUUUAAGGUCCCACCAGCUACGUCAGCUAUAAUUACUGAUGACGGUGUUGGUAUUAAUCCACAACAAACAGCAGGAAAUGUAUUUUUGAAACAUGGAUCCGAAUUACGACUGAUACCUAGAGACAGAGUAGGAGGAUAUUAAUUUUAUUAGUAAUAUUAAUUUUUUAUGCAAAAAUAUGUUUCUUGAUUGUUGUUUUCAUUCCAAUCCCCUAAAAUUGUAUUUUAUAAUUAUAUAUUUAUAUUUUUAUUAAGUUAAAUUUAAUAUAUCAGC
rnacentral:misc_RNA from 1 species